AAGACCAUAGAGUAAGAAAACGAGAGCAGGAAUUUAUUCCCCUAGCUUUCUCUUUGCCACAUUACCACAGGUCACCUAUGCCAUUCCACCAAAGGCGUGGCUCCUGUCAGGUGGCCCAAUCUUGAAGAAUGGAUUCACCUGUGGGUCAACUAAUGAAAAGCAAAAUCCUCCAAGUCAAGUCUUUGUCUUCCAGGAGGUCAGGAAAAAAAUCUCUUCUAAAGAAUCAUUCUUAGAUCUGAGACAUAGAAGAUGAAUAGUAUCUCGUUCAGGCAAAGCAUUUGUGAAGGUCCAGAGGUGAGAAGAUACUUUGCAUUUUCAUCAAAACUGAAGCAGCUGAGGCUCACUGAACAGCAGGAAAGAAAGGAA